rnacentral:lncRNA from 1 species
CGGGAACCCCGAACAUCCCCUUUCUCUACUCUUUCCCUUUGGAGUCUAUAGAGGGAGAAGCAGAGCCUAAGGCUUCAUCAGUUUGAAUACUGGCUGGGGCUGGGCAAGUUAGUGGCUCAAAGUGUUGAAUCUGUCCCUAAAGCAGGGACAGAAAUGGAGGCUCAGGAGGUAGAGGUGGCAGUGGGCGUGCAGGAGAAGCUGUAGGUCAGGAGGUAGAGGUGGCAGUGGGCGUGCAGGAGAACUGUAGGUCAGAGAGGUAGAGGUGGCAGUGGGCGUGCAGGAGAAGGUGUAGGUCGGGGGGUAGAGGUGGCAGUGGGCGUGCAGGAGAAGGUGUAGGUCAGGAGGCAGAGGUGGCAGUGGGCGUGCAGGAGAAGCUGUAGGUCGGGAGGUAGAGGUGGCAGUGGGCGUGCAGGAG